GACGAACGCUGGCGGCGUGCUUAACACAUGCAAGUCGAACGGAAAGACCCUGCUUUUGUGGGGUGCUCGAGUGGCGAACGGGUGAGUAACACGUGAGUAACCUGCCCUUGACUUUGGGAUAACUUCAGGAAACUGGGGCUAAUACCGGAUAGGAGCUCCUGCUGCAUGGUGGGGGUUGGAAAGUUUCGGCGGUUGGGGAUGGACUCGCGGCUUAUCAGCUUGUUGGUGGGGUAGUGGCUUACCAAGGCUUUGACGGGUAGCCGGCCUGAGAGGGUGACCGGCCACAUUGGGACUGAGAUACGGCCCAGACUCCUACGGGAGGCAGCAGUGGGGAAUAAUGCACAAUGGGCGGAAGCCUGAUGCAGCAACGCCGCGUGCGGGAUGACGGCCUUCGGGUUGUAAACCGCUUUCGCCUGUGACGAAGCGUGAGUGACGGUAAUGGGUAAAGAAGCACCGGCUAACUACGUG
rnacentral:rRNA from 1 species